rnacentral:lncRNA from 1 species
AUUGGGCCAAAUCACCUGCGGCCACCUUUGAGCCCAACCACGGAGCCGACUUCCGGGGUCGCCGCAUCUCCGCUGACACCGCUGCGUGUCCAGGCCGAGCCGCCCCUCCGCGUCCAAGACGGAACGCUCAGAUCUGUGGAAGAGAGGAAGAGGAACGAGCUGUCAUCGCAAGUAAUGAGCCGUUCAUAGACUGAGAGCUCAGAUCGUCGCUAGGAACGACGCCGGCGGCUUAUUAGUCACGCCGACGUCCAAGGGGUGGGCGUGGAGGUUGGAGCUCAGAUCUGCGGAGGAGAGGCCGUCUGUGGCUGACCGCUGCUUUGCGUCUCCAGAUCUGUGGACUAGCAGCUCUAUCGGCCAAGGCACAGCCGCCGGGAGGAUGUAGGGGUGGACGCGGCAGUCCGCCGUCGCUCAACAUCUAGAUCUGGACUCCAUUGCCUGGCGAAGUGGUGGUGGAUGAGAGAGAGACAGAGAUAGAGAGAAAUAAAUAUAUUUUCAUUUUUUUAUUUCAAAUAAAUUCCACCUGUCAUUUUUGAAAACCCUUCCUCCUUUUUUUUUUCCUUUCUUUUUUGAAAAAAGGUCUCUCUCUCCAUCUAAAAUAAUCUUUAAUGCACUUAUUUGUUAUCGUAAUGCGGAUUGUGUUUUGGAGAAAUUCUGCUUAUAGUUUAAGAAUUUUGGCAACCCAGAACUUAGUGGAUUCCUUUCCUUUUUCUAUUUAAAUUUUAAAUUUUAGUAUGCUUCAAAUGAAUGUUUCGUCUGUUAGUUUCAUUUAAAUAUAAGAUUUGACAUCUACUUUAUGUAUAAUUCUCGCAUGCUAAAUGCCGUAAUGUAAAAAUGUCAAGUAGAGGCUUUUUCACAUGCUACGGAUCCUUUCCGUGGAAAAUUAUAUGCACUAGCCACUGAUUUUACAAGUACAUCUAGUACAUGUCAAACACCUCCAACGACCACGUGAGAUUGGCGUUCGGAUAGAAUCAAGAAAACCCCCAAGGGGCAUAUCUCGAGUGGGGUUU